GCAGGGCGAGAGCAGCACAUUUGCAUGCUGGGGCCCUCUGUCUCCUCUGGGGCUGGAGGGGGGAUAAGAGACACCUGCAGAGUGUCGGCCUCAGCAGAGCUCUGGGUGUCUGCACCAUGGCCUGGACUCCACUCCUCCUCACCCUCCUCCUUCACUGCACAGGGUCCCUCUCCCAGCUUGCACUGACUCAGCCGCCCUCUGCGUCUGCCUCCCUGGGAGCCUCGGUCAAGCUCACCUGCACCCUGGACAGUGGGCACAGCAGCUACACCAUUGCAUGGCACCAGCAGCAGCCAGGGAAGGCCCCUCGGUACUUGAUGUAUGUUAACAGUGCUGGAAGCGGCAGCAAAGGGGACGGGAUCCCUGACCGCUUCUCAGGCUCCAGCUCUGGGGCUGACCGCUACUUGACCAUCUCCAACCUCCAGUCUGAGGAUGAGGCUGAUUAUUACUGUCAGACCGGGGACGCUGGUAUUAACUCACAGUGACACAGGCAGAUGAGGAAGUGGGACAAAAACCUCAGCCUGCUCAGGGUCUUGUUCUAUGUUAAUUUUCAGAUUUUAAAAUAAGUUCCAUGUAGUCAAACAGUACUUGGGAGCUCCUCUCAUUUAAAACAUAUCAAAAAUCGUCAAGGAUUUUACCACCCCCAAAAAAAAAAUUAAAAAAAAAAACCAACUAGAACUAGUAAACAAAUUGAGUGCAGGUCAAGGACAUAAUUCAUAUGCAAAAUGAAAUUAUAUUUCUGUAUGCUAGCAGUAAACAUUUGAAAAAUGUAAUAAAAAUGUGAUUGCAAUUUAAAUAUUAUUAA